rnacentral:rRNA from 1 species
CGAGUUGUAGAUUGCAGGUUGGAGUCUGUGUGGAAGGCGGUGUCCAAGUCCCUUGGAACAGGGCGCCCAGGAGGGUGAGAGCCCCGUGGGAUGCCGGCGGAAGCAGUGAGGCCCUUCUGACGAGUCGAGUUGUUUGGGAAUGCAGCUCCAAGCGGGUGGUAAAUUCCAUCUAAGGCUAAAUACUGGCGAGAGACCGAUAGCGAACAAGUACUGUGAAGGAAAGAUGAAAAGCACUUUGAAAAGAGAGUGAAACAGCACGUGAAAUUGUUGAAAGGGAAGGGUAUUGCGCCCGACAUGGGGAUUGC